rnacentral:rRNA from 1 species
GACGAACGCUGGCGGCGUGCUUAACACAUGCAAGUCGAACGGAAAGGCCCUGCUUUUGUGGGGUGCUCGAGUGGCGAACGGGUGAGUAACACGUGAGUAACCUGCCCUUGACUUUGGGAUAACUUCAGGAAACUGGGGCUAAUACCGGAUAGGAGCUCCUGCUGCAUGGUGGGGGUUGGAAAGUUUCGGCGGUUGGGGAUGGACUCGCGGCUUAUCAGCUUGUUGGUGGGGUAGUGGCUUACCGAGGCUUUGACGGGUAGCCGGCCUGAGAGGGUGACCGGCCACAUUGGGACUGAGAUACGGCCCAGACUCCUACGGGAGGCAGCAGUGGGGAAUAUUGCACAAUGGGCUGAAGCCUGAUGCAGCAACGCCGCGUGCGGGAUGACGGCCUUCGGGUUGUAAACCGCUUUCGCCUGUGACGAAGCGUGAGUGACGGUAAUGGGUAAAGAAGCACCGGCUAACUACGUG